rnacentral:lncRNA from 1 species
GUUGACUAAAAAAUACGUUUGACCCAAUUUAAAAAGAAAAAACAGAAGACCAAGCCUACUACGCGAAUUAGUUCUCUGAAUUUCUCAUCUCCUAAACCCUACAUAUAUGCAAGCGGCGCAAAUCCCAGCCCGUUCUCCGCCGUCGCGACUGCUGCCGCAGCUGUUCUGGAGCAGUUCAUGAAGCGGCGCAAAUCCCAGCCCGUUCUCCGCCGUCGCGACUGCCGCCGCCGAUGUUCUGGAGCAGUUCAUGAAUUGGAGUGUGAAUUGGGUAUAUAUUGGGGGUGCGUAUCGUGGUAGGCGGUGGGUAUAUUGGGGUGGGUUUAAUUAUGUUAUUUAUUUACUUGGGUGGCCGAUUGGUGUAGGUAAGGGGUGGGUUUAAUUUUGCUAUUUAUUUAUUUACUUCUAAGUUUUAAGAAUUAUGUAGUUAUUUGUUAUAUUUGGUUAUGAAUUAGUUUCUAUGAUAUAUAUAUUAAUAUUAUUUAUAAAAUUAUUAUAAAAAUUAAAACGUAUUUUUAACGUAUUCGUAUUGUGAUUUUUGGGAUAUUGACGUAUUUUCGUUCUCGUCUCGUAUCGUAUUCAUAUUUGGUAUUCGUACCGGUGCUUCCUAGGAAAAACCUAUUAGACAAUUGUGAGUACCUUUUGGAGGGAUAAUGGCAUUGUUUUAAAUUUUGCCAACAUUUGGCUUUUAUAUAUGUAAUGGAUAAUAUAUAAACCAAAAUUUUGAAAGAGAACUUGUUACUUUUUUUUUUGUGUGUGUUCUUGGUUUUCUGGAUAGAAGACAUGGAGAUCCUACGUCGCUAGAUGGAGAGUUGACAGAAGUAGAACCUUUUAUCGGAUAUAUUGGCAUUAGUAUCUAAUGCUGAUUCAUAAAUGCUUUUUCUGUUCAAACGGGUAUGGGUCUAACAGUUCUUCAAUGUUCAAUCUUUAGAUAUUCAAGAAUGCCACCUGAGCUGCUCUGUAGGGUUAUCUCUUCACUCCAAUCAACAAUUGAAGAGGGGUUUCCAUAUCAUAAUGAUCGGAAUAUCUUGCUGGUAACUAUCAAGUUUUCAUCCAUAUUCAUCAAUGAUAUGUCUCCAUUUUCUAGCUUCUUUUGUUUAUUUGUCUUGUGUGCAAAUUCAGUCAAUUUAUCUAAGUUUCUAUAAUUUAAUUUAUGCUGGAUAAUUUCUGCAACUGAUGUUCUGUUUCCUGUACUAUACUCACUAUUUCCUCAAAAUGAAAUCUACAUGAUAGCUUUGGUUCUAUUCUGCAGGCUGCAGCAAUUAUUUGCUUAACCAGAGCUCUUUCUGUGUCUGCCUCAAUGUGUGUCAACAAUAUGCUGCUGGGAGAAGUUUCACAGGUUUGUUGCAUGUAACCAUAUUACAACCGUACCUUGUUGUGUUUGUGAACUAUUAGAAAUAGAUUUGUACGUAUGGUAUAAAUUGUAGUGCAAGUUAGUGCUUCCUAGUUGUGUUAGAACCAUUGAGUCUCUGCACCUAUCCUUUUUUCUUUUUUGAAUGUUUGUUUUGUUUUGAGAAAAUAGGAUUUGGCUCAGGAUUGCCCGUUUUUAUUAAUUUCGGGGUUUCUUUGAAUUUGAAAGUUCUCACUUAGUAGGUUUCCAUACCAAAACUCAAUCCAAUUAAGUCCGUAGCGUCUACCGAUUUCGCCAUAUCCCCCUUCCUUUUGUCUUUUGUUUUGAGAUUAAGAUUUUAUUAGAAUAUUUCUAAUAUUAUUCAUUUUUUCUUUCAUUUAGAAUUUCUAUUGUAACCUUUUCAUUUAUUAGAUAGCGGUUACUAUCUCGAAAAAGUCUUUUUUUUUUCUUACCUAUAAGAAACCCACAUUUGAUUCAAUCAAAUUGAAUUUUAUCAUUUCUGUAUGAGCAAUUCAAUAUAGAUUGAUAUAUAUCCUUUAUAUAUCUUUAUUUUCAUGCAAUUUUUCUCAUGCAAUGACGAUACUUAAAGGAUAGAAAAUAUAGAAGUGUAACAAAAAGAAUUCAAAUGUAAUGUGAAUUCAAAAUAAUUUUUUUACUAUCUAAAACUAAAAACAUUUAAGA